ACUGUGUCAGCGAGUCGAAUAAGCCUUCUUUUAUACACAGGUUGAUGGCUUCCUUUAAGUGAAAGCCACCGACAUAAUGAAAAUAAUUAACCUAAAAAAAUAGUUACAAUAAAUAUAAUGUAUAAAUAUUUCUUUUCUAACAGCAAAGUGUUGAAAUGGGUAAUACAGCCGGCUUUUGUGGCGCAGAAUGGCGAUCCUGGACGCAUUUCAAUAUUUUCUGCAACAAUCCAUGCGAUUUCCUGAAAAUAAAAACAUCAAAUAUAGACAUACUUUACACAUACCGAUAAUCAUGAUGUACGAAUUACUUACUUCAUGUCUGUCUUCAUAAUCUUCAAUCGGUCCUCCAUAAUCUUCAAUCGUUCUUCUAUUUUCCUAUAUUCUGCGCUUGACAGACAGCAUGUCCUUCGCUCUCCUCACGUUGAUACAAUGGCACCUGCUGCUCCUGUAGCAGUAGUAUUCCUUCUCCGCUUUGGAUCCUCGUCAGAAGAAGUUGUUUGAUAGCGCAAUGGCUUGGGAACAAUGCGUUUUUGCCGUUCCAUCUGAUACAUUUGUUCGAGAAACUAUCAAUGGAUGACAGCGAUAGUGAUGGACAUUAUGAAAUGAAAUUAUCUAAAUAUAUUAUCGCUGCUUUAAUACACAUGGAAGAAACGAUCUAGGUUGUCUAAUACAAGUCAAAUGGAACAACGCAGGGAGGUCGUCCAGGAAGGUGCAGUGAAGGAACGCAGGGACAGAAUAAGAAGAGGAAGAAGAAGGAAGCAGGAAGAGAUAGGUGGAAAGGGGGGAAGAGAAGGAGGAGAAACCGGUGGUUGGUUUCUCUCUGCGUCGUCAGACGAACCGGCACUUUUCAGUGCCUAUUUUGAUGUCUUAAACAUGGGAACCUGUCGUGUUCGAAAUACAUGACACGGCGCUUUUUAGCGCCGCACCGAAUAUAAUAAAAACAUCACAUUUCGUUAAACAUACGACGAUGUGCGAUGAAAAAAAUUUUCUUUUUUUUAUUAUUACAAUGAUACAAAUUGGAUAAUACAAGUUGAUAAAUUAAUGUGUAUGUAUAUUUUUCAAAGUAAAAGAAGGAGAGAGAGA